AUUGAACGCUGGCGGCAUGCCUUACACAUGCAAGUCGAACGGCAGCACGGGUGCUUGCGCCUGGUGGCGAGUGGCGAACGGGUGAGUAAUACAUCGGAACAUGUCCUGUAGUGGGGGAUAGCCCGGCGAAAGCCGGAUUAAUACCGCAUACGAUCUACGGAUGAAAGCGGGGGACCUUCGGGCCUCGCGCUAUAGGGUUGGCCGAUAGCUGAUUAGCUAGUUGGUGGGGUAAAGGCCUACCAAGGCGACGAUCAGUAGCUGGUCUGAGAGGACGACCAGCCACACUGGGACUGAGACACGGCCCAGACUCCUACGGGAGGCAGCAGUGGGGAAUUUUGGACAAUGGGCGAAAGCCUGAUCCAGCAAUGCCGCGUGUGUGAAGAAGGCCUUCGGGUUGUAAAGCACUUUUGUCCGGAAAGAAAUCCUUGGCUCUAAUACAGUCGGGGGAUGACGGUACCGGAAGAAUAAGCACCGGCUAACUACGUG
rnacentral:rRNA from 1 species